rnacentral:rRNA from 1 species
UAGGGAAUAUUGGACAAUGGUCGCAAGACUGAUCCAGCCAUGCCGCGUGCAGGAAGACGGCCCUAUGGGUUGUAAACUGCUUUUGUACCAGAGGAAACCUAUCUACGUGUAGAUAGCUGAUAGUAUGGUAAGAAUAAGCAUCGGCUAACUUCGUGCCAGCAGCCGCGGUAAGACGAAGGAUGCAAGCGUUAUCCGGAUUCAUUGGGUUUAAAGGGUGCGUAGGCGGGCUUGUAAGUCAGUGGUGAAAUCGCUCAGCUUAACUGAGAAACUGCCAUUGUUACUGUAGGCCUAGAGUAUAGAUGACGUUGGCGGAAUAUGACAUGUAGUGGUGAAAUACUUAGAUAUAUCAUAGAACACCGAUGGCGGAGGCAGCUAACGAAACUAUAACUGACGCUGAG